rnacentral:rRNA from 1 species
AGUGAACGCUGGCGGCGUGCUUAACACAUGCAAGUCGAACGAGAACGGGUUAUAGCUUGCUAUAAUUGUCAGCUAAGUGGCGCACGGGUGAGUAAUGUAUAGGUAAUAUGCCUCUUACUAAGGGAUAACAAAUGGAAACGUUCGCUAAUACCUUAUACUCCUUAUUAACAGAAGUUAAUAAGGGAAAGAUUUAUUGGUAAGAGAUUAGCCUGUAUUGUAUCAGUUAGUUGGUGGGGUAAUGGCUUACCAAGAUUAUGACACAUAACUGGUUUGAGAGGAUGAUCAGUCACACUGGAACUGAGACACGGUCCAGACUCCUACGGGAGGCAGCAGUGGGGAAUAUUGCACAAUGGACGAAAGUCUGAUGCAGCAACGCCGCGUGGAGGAUGACACAUUUCGGUGCGUAAACUCCUUUUAUAUGAGAAGAUAAUGACGGUAUUAUAUGAAUAAGCACCGGCUAACUCCGUGCCAGCCGCCGCAGUAA